AUGGAGUUCACCGCAAUCACGGCCUCCACGGCGGCUGGUGGCCGCCCUUGGCCGCCGCCGCCGCCGCCGCUGCCAGCUGAUCAUCAGGCUGAGGAAGCCGCGGCGGCGGAGGUGGAGAAGGAGUGCAUGUUCGACAAGGUGGUCACGCCGAGCGACACGGGCAAGCUGAACCGGCUGGUGAUACCGAAGCAGCACGCGGAGAAGUACUUCCCGCUGGACGCCUCCUCCAACGACAACGGCCUCCUGCUAGACUUCGAGGACAGCGCAGGGAAGCCAUGGCGCUUCCGCUACUCCUACUGGAACAGCAGCCAGAGCUACGUGAUGACCAAGGGGUGGAGCCGCUUCGUCAAGGAGACGCGCCUCGAGGCCGGCGACAUCGUCUCGUUCAAACGCGGAGUCGGGGAGGCCGCCAGGGGGAGGUUCUUCAUCGACUGGCGGCGCCGCCGCGGCCCCGACGUGGUCCUGCCGCCCCCGCACCACCGAGGCUUCAACCUCCUCUCCGUCGGGAGCGAUGGGUUCGCAUGUCCCGACGUAAACCUAGAAGGUGAUAGUGUAGAGGAGAUACUAGAUAAGGCAUAUAUUACGAAGAUAGGGCCAUGGGGUGGAAACAGAGGCAACUUUAAUGACAUCAAGGUGUCACCUCUGCGUCUGAAUAGUAUCACAAUCCGUAGUGGAGAGGUCAUAUAUUCACUUGCAUUUUCGUACAGCGAUAACUAUGGAAAGCAGCACCAUGCAGGUCCAUGGGGGGGUUGUAAAGACUUCUCUUAUGGCAGCUUCGAUACGAUUCAACUAGGACCCUCGGAGUUCCUGACUAAAGUUUCUGGAACAAUUGCCUUCUCUGCCCAAUAUUCUUCCAACGUUAUAACAUCUGUCAUGUUUAUCACCACUGCUCGUCGGUAUGGACCCUUUGGAGGAGGAGUAGGAAUUCCUUUUCAGAGUCCAGUGAUGAGCAAUGGCAGCAUCGUUGGCUUCUUCGCCCAUGCUGAGUGGGUGGUUGAGUCAAUUGGUCUUUAUGUGAACUCUGAGAGUAAACUCUGGGAACCAAUGAAAGGACAGGACUCGGUUACAAAAAUUGGGCCAUGGGGUGGUGAUUCAGGGAGGCCUAAUGACGUGAAUGUGUUACCUCGUCGUCUGUUAAGUGUGGUAGUUCGUAAUAGUACUGUAAUCAGUUCACUUACGUUUACAUACAUUGACUGGGAUGGACAACCGCAGACCGCUGGUCCAUGGGGUGGGCUGGGUGAGUCAUUCGACGGGAAAGUUGACACGAUUAUUCUUGGGCGGUCAGAGUUUUUGACCGAAGUUUCUGGAACACUUGGUUGGAACUCCGGAUAUUCAGAUGUUGUAACAUCACUUUACUUUGUCACCAACACUGGUGGCUAUGGACCAUACGGAAAAGGAGGAGGAACUCGUUUCCGAAGUUCACAUAGCAAUGGUAGUAUAGUUGGCUUCUUUGUCAAUGCUGCAGACGUGAUUGACGCAAUUGGUGUCUAUUUUAGCCCAGAGAGGGAGACAUGCAAAGAGAAGGAGGAAGGAGGCUUUGGGAUUUCACGUAGUAUGGCUUACAGAGAAAGGGUGGAGAUAGAAUCAGCAUCAAAUGACCUGGAGCAUAUAGUACUUGACCAAAGCGCGGAGCCGACUAAUCUGCCGUUAGCACUUUUAAAAGACAUCACUGAGGAUUUCAAUGAUAAGCGACAAAUUGGCCGUGGUGGAUUCGGAAUCGUUUACAAGGGCGAUCUUCAAAACAGGAGUGUUGCUGUUAAAAGGAUUUUAAGCUGCCAUACAUUCAACGAUGAAGCAUUUAAUCGUGAGAUUACUUUUCUAAUCAGUGUAAAACACAAAAAUAUAGUACGGCUUCUGGGCUACUGUGCUAAUACAGAGAAUAAAGCGAUGAAACAUUCAGAAUCAGGAGAACCUUGGAAGUAUGUUUUUGCCGAAAUGAGGGAAAGAUUACUCUGUUUCGAGUAUAUAAAAAAUGGAAGCCUUGACAGAUAUCUUACUGACGAACUAAGGGGACUUGAAUGGCAUACGCGCUACCAGAUAAUUCGAGGAAUAUGUGAUGGUUUGGUUUAUCUUCACACAGAAAAGGGUAUUGUUCAUAGGGACAUGAAACCUGAGAAUAUACUGCUUGAUGAUCUUAUGAUACCAAAAAUUACAGAUUUUGGUAUAUCAAAACUCCUUGAUGGAGCAACACACGCUGUCACUAGUGACCCCACAGGAUCACGUGGAUAUUGUGCUCCGGAAUUCAUAGCUCGUGGUGAGGUGUCAACCAGGUCAGACAUAUACAGUCUGGGCGUUAUAAUCACAGAGCUCGUGACUGGAUGUAAGGAUGAACCUCAUAUUCAAAAUGUACUUAGAAGGUGGAGGUAUAGAUGGAAUGAAUCGGCGAACUAUCCACCAUUUGGAUACCAACAGGUAAGUAAAUGCAUUGAAAUAGCGUUAAAGUGCUUGUCAGACUCCCCAAAGAAGAGGCCUAAAAUAUCGGAUAUAGUCAGUAUGCUUAAUACAAUGGAAAGUACGAAGGAGCACAUUACCAAUGUUGGUAACUCUCCAGCUGGCCAGAUAAGCGCUUACCCGUGGGAGCUACUUGAGUUUGACUUGCUCGAGCUGAAUUUCCCGUUCGAGAUAAACAAGCAGAUACCAUGCUCACUUCAGCUAACUAACGUAACUGAUGAUUACGUUGCCUUCGAUAUUGAAAUGAUGGGCAUACUACGGUAUUGCAUUGAACCGGAGAAACGUGUUGUGCCACCACGAUCAAAGUGCAAUGUCAUGGUAACACUGCAACCACAUGAGAGGGUACCGCAUGCUAUGGUGUGCAAGGACGAGUUGUUCAUUUUGCGGUGUGCCGCCGUGAGUGAGGGUCUCACGGCCGAGGAUAUCAUUGAAGACAUGUUAAAUAAGAAGUCGGGUAAAGAAGAAGCCGAUAAGGUGACGUUGAAGGUUGUUAUUUUGCCCAUCACCGUCGACUAA
rnacentral:rRNA from 1 species